CAGCGGGAGCGUAGUAGAGAGCAGAGUGAGGCAGUGGGGAGCACAGUGAAGAGACGGCGGAGAGCAGAAUGAGGUGGAGAGCAGAGCAAGGUGGAGAGCAGAAUGAGGUGGAGAGCAGAAUGAGGUAGAGAGCAGAGCAAGGCGGAGAGCAGAAUGAGGUGGAGAGCAGAAUGAGGUGAAGAGCAGAGCAAGGCGGAGAGCAGGGCAAGGCAGAAAGUGGGGAGCACAGUGAAGAGACAGCGGAGAGCAGAAUGAGGUGGAGAGCAGAGCAAGGCGGAGAGCAGAAUGAGGUGAAGAGCAGAGCAAGGCGGAGAGCAGGACAAGGCAGAAAGUGGGGAGCACAGUGAAGAGAUGGCGGAGAGCAGAG